rnacentral:rRNA from 1 species
ACGCACGCUGGCGGCGUGCUUAACACAUGCAAGUCGAACGAUGAAGCCUAGCUUGCUAGGUGGAUUAGUGGCGAACGGGUGAGUAAUACGUGAGUAACCUACCUUUAACUCUGGGAUAAGCCCGGGAAACUGGGUCUAAUACCGGAUACGACCAAUCUCCGCAUGGGGUGUUGGUGGAAAGCGUUAUGUAGUGGUUAUAGAUGGGCUCACGGCCUAUCAGCUUGUUGGUGAGGUAACGGCUCACCAAGGCGACGACGGGUAGCCGGCCUGAGAGGGUGACCGGCCACACUGGGACUGAGACACGGCCCAGACUCCUACGGGAGGCAGCAGUGGGGAAUAUUGCACAAUGGGCGCAAGCCUGAUGCAGCGACGCCGCGUGAGGGAUGACGGCCUUCGGGUUGUAAACCUCUGUUAGCAGGGAAGAAGAGAGAUUGACGGUACCUGCAGAGAAAGCGCCGGCUAACUACGUG